AUUGGUAUGUCGAAGGUUUGUAGCCCCCGAGCCACCCUUGACUACGCUCGUCCUCGGGAUAAGUCUCCCCUAUAUGCGAAACAACUAUAAAAACAUUAAUUAAAGCACAUAACCAAUACUAGCUAAUAACUUCUCAUACAUUGCUCAAAUGAGGUAUAUAAAUAUACCAACGUGACCUAUGCAACCUCACAAACAUCCCCAUAUUUUUAGAAAAAUUUUCCGACCACCCACGCUCCGUCACGCGCCGGCCAAGGCACGGCCAGACUCGCUGCCCAAGUGCGAGCACGUGCCAAGCACACUGACGGUAACCUUAAUGGCGUUAGGGAAUAUUCCGUUAAAUAAUAGCAUAUAACGUUAAAACUACCUAACGCCAUUAGAAUAUUUUGUCAAAGUUGAUGGAAUAUUCGCUCGUCCUCUUCCUUCGACUCCGGUGACCGUUGCCGUAGCCGAAAAACUGGGAAUUUGAAAAACCUUGAUAUCUCAGUCAUUUCUUAACCAAAAUUCAUGAAAUUGGUUUCAAUUUAAAGCUUAUAACUAGAAGAACACAUCCUUACCAAUUUCAAGGCUUGAAUUCCAUGAAAACUCUCCGGAAAAAGCUCGAUAAUCCGAUGUAAACUUAAAACUUGUCGAACUCGACUUCUCGACGUCCAAAUCGCUUGGUUUUUCUUCUCCGAGCUUCGUGAGGAUGAUUCAAAGUUCCCUAUGUCCUUAAAAACUCCUAAAACCUCACAUUAAAUUAGUGCAUGAACAAUGCAUGAAAUAUGGGGUUCGAGUUCACGGGGUUUUUGAAGCUUUCAUGACCUAAAAAUGGUAUGGUUAAGAUCCUAAGGUUACAAGGAACUCAAACAUGGCCUCUAAAGGUUCGAUCUACAAAGCUUGUUGAGGGUUUGAGUUUGUCCGUACGGUUUGUA
rnacentral:lncRNA from 1 species